rnacentral:rRNA from 1 species
UACGUAGGGUGCGAGCGUUAAUCGGAAUUACUGGGCGUAAAGCGUGCGCAGGCGGCUUUGCAAGACAGAUGUGAAAUCCCCGGGCUCAACCUGGGAACUGCAUUUAUGACUGCAAGGCUAGAGUACGGCAGAGGGGGAUGGAAUUCCGCGUGUAGCAGUGAAAUGCGUAGAUAUGCGGAGGAACACCAAUGGCGAAGGCAAUCCCCUGGGCCUGUACUGACGCUCAUGCACGAAAGCGUGGGGAGCAAACAGG